GCGAGUGAAGCGGGAAAAGCUCAAAUUUAAAAUCUGGCGGUCUUUGGCCGUCCGAGUUGUAAUUUAGAGAAGCGUCUUCCGCGCCGGACCGUGCACAAGUCUCCUGGAAUGGAGCGUCAUAGAGGGUGAGAAUCCCGUCUUUGGCACGGAUGCCUGUGCUUCUGYGAUGCGCUCUCAAAGAGUCGAGUUGUUUGGGAAUGCAGCUCAAAAUGGGUGGUGAACUCCAUCUAAAGCUAAAUAUUGGCGAGAGACCGAUAGCGAACAAGUACCGUGAGGGAAAGAUGAAAAGCACUUUGGAAAGAGAGUGAAACAGUACGUGAAAUUGUUGAAAGGGAAACGCUUGAAGUCAGUCGCGUCGACCGAGACUCAGCCUUGCCUUGGCUUGGUGUACUUCUCGGCCCGACGGGUCUGCAUCAAUUUUGCCCCUCGGAUAAUGACAAGGGAAAGGUGGCACCUUUGCGGGUGUGUUAUAGUCUCCUGUCGCAUGCGAGGGGUGGGAUUGAGGAACUCAGCGCGCACCUUGGUGUCGGGGCUUCGGCCCACAUCACGC
rnacentral:rRNA from 1 species